GGGAAAAUGGCUCAGCGGUAGAGUGCUUGCCUUGCAUGCAUGAGGACCUGGGUUCAAUUCCUCAGUACCA
rfam:Dipodomys ordii ctg_broad_rename0002382, whole genome shotgun sequence.